rnacentral:rRNA from 1 species
GACGAACGCUGGCGGCGUGCUUAACCCAUGCAAGUCGAACGGAGUGGCGAACGGGUGAGUAACACGUGGGUGAUCUGCCUUGCACUUCGGGAUAAGCUUGGGAAACUGGGUCUAAUACCGGAUAGUGCAAGAUGCGCUCGCGGCUUAUAAGCGUGUUGGGGGGGUAAUGGCCUACCAAGGCGUCGACGGGUAGCCGGCCUGAGAGGGGGUACGGCGACAUUGGGCCUGAGAUACGGCCCAGAGUCCUACGGGAGGCAGCAGUGGGGAAGAUGGCAGAAUGGGGGGAAGCCUGAUGCAGAGACGCUGCGUGGGGGAUGAAGGCCUACGGGUUGUAAACUCCUUUCGACAGAGACCCGGUACCUGUAUAAGAAGCACCGGCUAACUACGUGCCAGCCGCCGCGGUAAUAC